rnacentral:misc_RNA from 1 species
GAUCGUGGCGAUGGAGGUAGUAGCGUCAAGCACCAGGCCAAAAAGAAGCUCGAAGAUCUGAACUGGGACAAUUCGUUUGUCAGAGAGCUGCCUGGCGAUCCCCGUACCGAUAUCAUUCCACGAGAGGUAUUACAUGCAUGUUAUUCAAAUGUAUUACCUUCAGUUGAAGUACAAAACCCUCAGCUUGUUGCUUGGUCAGAAUCAGUUGCCGAUUUACUAGAUUUGGAUCCUCAAGAGUUUGAAAGGCCAGAUUUCCCCCUCUUGUUCUCUGGGGCAUCUCCAUUAGUUGGAGUGUCGCCUUAUGCUCAAUGUUAUGGUGGCCAUCAUUUUGG